AUGGUCAGUGUAGAGAACAGGGCUGUGGCGCAUGUGCCCAUCACUGGCCCUGGAGUCCGCUUUCUCUCUGCCCACACCGCCUUGGCUGGAGCCCAUGGCCAGGUCGCGCUGGUGCUCCCGGCGCUACUCCGCUGCUGCGGCUGCAACUGCAGCAGCUGCUGGCACGUGGGCGCCCACUGUGUGCCCUGCCACCCGGCCGCCAGUGCCUUCCCCGCUAGCGAGUCUGGCCCCGACUGCUGGUGCUGCUUAUGGCUGUGGCGGCUGCCACCUCGCACAUUUGCGGCUUCCAGCAUGGGCCUGCGCCUCCCUGGGACACUGUCCGGGCCUCCCCUCAUGGCCACUGCCUUCUACCCUGCCGUGCGAGUCCCACUGUUACAGCCCUCACUGGCGGUGCCUGCCCGCCGGUGCACGGAGCUACGACCAGGAGUCCAAAACUACCUACCUGGAAGACCUUCCACCACUCCCUGAAUACGAACUGGCCUGGUCCAAGCUAGGAGAGGAAGUGGAUGACGUUUAUCUCAUUCGAGCUCAGAGACUUCCCUGGUCACGCACUGUGGAAGAUGUGCUUGCUUUUUUCUCAGACUGCAGAAUCUGCAAUGGUGAGAAUGGAAUACAUUUCCUCUUAAACAGAGAUGGGAAAAGAAGAGGUGAUGCCUUAAUAGAAAUGGAGUCAGAGCAGGACGUGCAGAAAGCCUUAGAGAAGCACCACCUGUACGUGGGCCAGCGGUACAUGGAAAUAUAUGACAUAAACAAUGAAGAUGUAGGUGCCUUAAUGAAGAGCUUACAGGUCAAGUCUUCACCUGCAGUAAACAACAGUGUCAUGUGUUUGAGAGGACUUCCUUACAGUUGUGAUGAGAAAGACAUCAUAGAUUUCUUUGCAGGACUGAAUAUAGUUGACAUUACUUUUGUGAUGGACUGUAGAGGGAGAUGAAAACAGGGGAAGCCUAUGUGCAGUUUGAAGAGCCAGAAAUGGCCAACCAAGCCCUGCUGAAACACAGGGAAGAGAUUUGAUAACAGAUAAAUUGAGAUAUUUCCAAGCAGAAGGAAUGAAGUUCGAAUGCACAUUGAUGCUCAUAAAGGAAAGAAAAUAGCAUCUUCUCCUAUGGCUAAGUAUAUAACUGAGCCAGAAAUGGUCUUUGAAGAACAUUAAGGAAAUGAGGAUAUUUGACCCAUGAUAGCUUUUGAAAAUGAGAAGGAAAUAGAAUUACCUAAGGAGAUGUCAGAAAAGCUUCCAGAGGCUGUUGACUUUGGAGCUAUGCCUUCCCUGCAUUUCGUCCACAUGAGAAGAUUGCCUUUCCAAGCCAAUGCCCAAGACAUCAUAAUUUUUUUUUUGCUCCACUGAAGCCUGUUAGAAUCACCAUGGAGUACAACUCCAGCGGGAAGGCCCUGGGGAAGCUGAUGUCCAUUUCGAUACCCAUGAGGACACUGUCGCAGCAUGCCCGAGGACCGUCCCGCGUUCAUCAUCGGUAUGUUGAACUGUUCCUGAAUUCAUGUCCAAAAGGCAAAUAAGAGUUCCAGGGGCUCCAGAUGAUAAAUUAAGGAGGAAGCAGGAAGCGUUUCAUUUGCACAUCUUUCUCGGACAUGUGAUAUGAUGUUCCAGGUUUCUUUCAGCAGUAGCUGCUAGAGAAAGGGUUUUG